rnacentral:misc_RNA from 1 species
AGAAAAUGUAUCUUCACUUUCUAAAUGUUGAAGCAUUUGCCCAAUAAUGAGUUUUCCAGUUUCCUGAUCACCAAUUUUGUCAACAAUGGCACCCCUAAAUAAUGUUUUUCUUGAAGUUACAGUCAAUGGACUUGUGAAACUAAUGUUCUUUUGUACAAAGUUUGUGAAAUGGACUUGCUGGUGCCGAGUCUCUAAGUAGCUUCCAUUGUAGCCACCAAUCGCUUCGUAAAACCCUAUUUCUGACGAUUUAACAAGGAUAGAUAGCGGAAAAGAAAAAGCUUGACCGAAAAACAAAUCUAUGAGAAUGAAGAGGGGGUUUAUCUGAUUUCCUUCAAGAUGAUUUGUUCUUCAGACUAGCCAACUCCUCUUCUUGCUGUUUUUUUAAAUACCGCUGUGCAGUAGCAUUUACAAUCUUAACGAAAAAGUUAAGUAGCAUGAUGGUUACCACACCGUUCCAAACUGAAGCAAAUGAGAAAUCCCAUUUGUUCACCUUUAUAUUUGAAGUGGACGGAGUUUUGGUAGCCAUAUACUUGUCUUUCAUGGAAUGGAGCUUGGCAAUGAUUUUAGGUAACAUGGUUUCAAGACCAGGUAUAAAACUAAGCAUCCGAAUCAUCUUGGUUUCCACCCAAUAAAGAAGUUGAUUGUUGCAAACAGAAAUUAUGAACACGGUCUGUAUGUGAGUUUUAAUGAUGGCCUUUCCAAUCAAAGUUGCAAAAAAGAACUUCCAAAAUGGGAUCCCAAAUUGUCCACACAUUAUGCCAGCAAGAUCAAAUAGAGGAUUAGGAACCGAAGCAAGUAUUAGAAUUGUGAAGAAGUUCAAACAUUGUGCAUGGGAAAAAAACCAGCGCUUCAUUUGAGUCAGACGAGUAGCUAUAAAUCCAUUGUUUUCAGAAGAGGCAUCUAGUUCUUCCAUUGCUUCUACUUUACUGCCUGAGAGGCUUGCUGCUCUUGAAAUAAAAUAUGGGGGAAGCUCUCCAAGUGCGGUUCCAAGGCCCCAUAAAACAGCCUCUAACUGCACUUGGAGCAGUAUGCUACUAAGAGGAACACUUGUGCCAUGUGAAGAUGAAAAUACAGGGGGGCCAAACUCUGAACAAUCUUUGUGAAGCCAUAAAGGAGUUUUUUGAAAUUGUAUUGUAUCAUAGGGAGCCAUUUUGAGGUCAACUCGCCCACACUUCAUUGCCUUUAUCGUAAAUAAAGCAAUGUGAGGG